rnacentral:rRNA from 1 species
CCAAUAGCGUAUAUUAAAGUUGUUGCAGUUAAAAAGCUCGUAGUUGAAUUUCGGAAUCCAUCCGUCGGUCGGGCCUCACGGUCCGCACUGGUGUGAUGGAUUUCUACCUUCUGAAUAACCAGCAUGUCAUUAAUUUGGUGCGUUGGGGAAGCAGGACUGUUACCUUGAAAAAAUUAGAGUGCUUAAAGCAGGCUAGUGCCUGAAUACAUUAGCAUGGAAUAAUGAAAUAGGACGGCAUGGUUCUAUUUUGUUGGUUUCUAGGAUCACCGUAAUGAUUAAUAGGGAUAGUUGGGGGCAUUAGUAUUCAAUUGUCAGAGGUGAAAUUCUUGGAUUUAUUGAAGACUAACUUCUGCGAAAGCAUUUGCCAAGGAUGUUUUCAUUAAUCAAGAACGAAAGUUAGGGGAUCGAAGACGAUCAGAUACCGUCGUAGUCUUAACCAUAAACUAUGCCGACUAGGGAUCGGACGAUGUUAAUUUUUUAAUGACUCGUUCGGCGCCUUACG